GGAUGUGAGGGUGAUCUGGCUGCGACAUCUGUCACCGCAUUGAUUGCCAGGGUUGAUUGGGCCGAUCUGGCUGGCUGGGCGGGUGUCCCCUUCCUCCCUCACCACUCCACGUGCGUCCCCCCCGAAGCUGCGCGCCUGGCCGAGGAGCUCGCCCUUCCCCGCUGGAGGAGGACCGUGCUUCCCUCAAGGGUAUACGAGUAGCCGCGCUCCCCUGCUAGAACCUCCACACAAGCUCUCCAAAGGACAAACGUUGUGUGAGUCCACUUAUAUGAAGUAUUGAAUAAGCAAAUUCAUAGUGACAGAAAGUAGAU
rnacentral:snRNA from 1 species